UCUACAUUACUAUGGAACUACUUACUAUCCUUAAUAUACUUUAAAAAAUUUCAGUAAAAAAAGUAGACAAUAUAUGAUUUUAUUAAUAAAGAGUGAGAAAGCAUCAGUGAUAACUGUUUAAACAUUAAACAGCCAUGUCUUGGCUUUAAUAUUGUGCAUAUUGGCUUCUAUGAUACUGCAAAUAAACACAUAAAAAUAUUUCCCAUUUUCAUGCACAGGUAUUCAGCUAUAACAUCAUUUACAAAUUAUUAUGGACAAGAUAAAUUCCCCAAUAAUCAAUAUUCACUUGGAUAGCCACAAUUAAAUGAAUAUUAAACCAAGAAACAGCCUAUGUUCAAUAUAUUCUAGAUGUCUGGUGGUAAUAUUUAAUGUUAUAUAAAACCUAAUUCCUUAUAUUUUUUUAAGGGACAUCUUUUGAAUAAGUGGGUGCUCAAAUAAAGGCUGAGGAAUGUGUUCUUUGAUCAUAAUAACAAAAUUCACACACAAGACAGUUUGCCUCCCCCUCUAAAAGAAGCAAUACAUUUGCUCAAAUCUCUCUCUCCAGGUAGCAUUUCCCCAAUUAUUAAUGAAAAUACCUUA